CCUACGGGGGACAGCAGUGGGGAAUAUUGGGCAAUGGAGGAAACUCUGACCCAGCAACGCCGCGUGAAUGAUGAAGGUCUUCGGAUUGUAAAGUUCUUUUCUAAGGGAAGAAGAAAGUGACGGUACCUUAGGAAAAAGCAUCGGCUAACUCCGUGCCAGCAGCCGCGGUAAUACGGAGGAUGCGAGCGUUAUCCGGAUUUAUUGGGUUUAAAGGGAGCGUAGACGGUUAUGUAAGUCUGGAGUGCAGGAGAGGUAAGUGGAAUUCCUAGUGUAGCGGUGAAAUGCGUAGAGAUUAGGAAGAACACCAGUGGCGAAGGCGACUUACUGGACUGUAACUGACGCUGAGGCAUGAGAGCAUGGGGAGCAAACAGGAUUAGAUACCCGAGUAGUC
rnacentral:rRNA from 1 species